rnacentral:rRNA from 1 species
UACAGAGGGGGCAAGCGUUGUUCGGAAUUACUGGGCGUAAAGGGCGCGUAGGCGGCCUUCUAAGUCGAACGUGAAAUCCCUGGGCUCAACCCAGGAACUGCGUCCGAUACUGGAAGGCUUGAAUCCGGGAGAGGGAUGCGGAAUUCCAGGUGUAGCGGUGAAAUGACGUAGAUAUCUGGAGGAACACCGGUGGCGAAGGCGGCAUCCUGGACCGGUAUUGACGCUGAGGCGCGAAAAGCGUGGGGAGCAAACAGG